AAGAGUAUGGAAGGUGAAAUUUAAUUCUUACCGCUUAGAAUUUUGGACUUGGAAGGAAGCUAAGCGAUCUCUUCCUUCAGCUUCCUGGAAGAGGCUUGGAAGCACCUUUCCACCAGGUUCAUUACCCCUACUCUUCACCCAGUCCCAGGAGAGGGUGGAGGAGGAGGUGGAGUGGAGUGUUGGGAGCUGUGUCGGAACCUGCCUGAGGGCAGUGGCAUCCCUGUUAUUAUUAUUUUUUUAAUUAAUGUAAGUGCUUCUAAUUGUUAUUAUUUCGCUUCUCCCCCAAGGGGACUGGAGACCUACGGUAGGAAAGCCGGGGACUAAGGCAGAAAAGAGGAAGGAUGGAAUUGAUGAAAGAGAAAGGAGAAUGGGCCAGGGGAAAAGGUACCAGCUGCAGGGCUGGAGAACCCAAUAGAAGUAGGUGGCUUCCCGUAACCCUACAAACAAUAAGCAGAUAGAUCCUUGCGACCAGUGAAGGAAUUCUGUUUGACUUCCAGCUUCCAUUCUCAAUUAGCUUACCUUACCUUCUUUUUGUAGCCUUUGGGAGACACAUUUCUCUGCCGCAACUGUAGCGUGCUCUUUAAGCUUAACUACUUUAGGUGUGACUUUAGGUAAAUCGAUUACUCUCUCUGAUCCUCUGUUUCUUCCUCCGUAAAAUGAGAAGUCAGCUGUCCGGAGCAGCCAGGUGGCUCAAUGGAUGGAGCCAGUCCUGGAGUCUGGAAGACCUGAAUUCGAAUUCAGUCUCCUAUGCUUACUAGCUGUGUGACCCUGAUUGCUUUAGUUUCCUCCUCUGUAAAAUAAGCUGAAGAAAGAAAUGGCGAAUUUCACAAGCAUCUUUGCUAAUUAAAUCUCGAAUAGGGUCAUGAAGAGUGGGACAAUAGUAAACUUCAACAGUGUUGUCUCUUUUAAAUACUGGAUAUAUAACCUCCAAAGUCCUCAUCUGCUAUAAAUACUAGGAUCAUCUUGACCCUAAAAAGCUCUUGGGUAGGAGAAAGCCAGGAAGGGAAGAGAGAAGACUUGAAUUACAGGGUGCUAACAAUGGGGGAAACAUUCCCCUCCUUCAGAUCCCAUUCCCUGCUAGAUGCCAGGAAAGUUUUGACAGUUAGAACGAAGGGUAAUCAUGCUGGAUAGCUUCAUAGGGCAUAAAACCUGGAGGACUUGACACUUUCCUUCUUACAAGUACACCUAUUUUUGUCGGAAAAAAGUCUUCUUUAUAGGAGAGAGGAUAAAGUAGCAGGAAUCUAAGAUCCUGGACACCACUCAGUAACCUGGCUUCCAGGAGGAUAUUGGCCAGCUAAAUAAUAGGGUUGGGGGUCAAUGGCAGAAGGAUGCUCUAAUGUCUUGGGUGGAGGUGCUUGUUCCUGGUGUCUGUAGUGUAUAUGUAUGCAUUUAUGUAUGUUAGUAUCUUUGCCUUUUGCUGCAAGAGGAAAUGUCAUGGUCCCAAAUACUUCUUUCUGUCUUUUUAGCCCUGAAUUAGGGGGUCAACUUUGUAAUAUUUCACCCACCUUCUAAAUGCCUCACCUAUAUACCACAGUGGAAGGUCUUUUUUUAAUAUAGCCUUUUAUCCUCAUUUCUGUGAUUUAAAAGAGACAUUUCCCAUUUUCUCUGAGCUUAUUCACCUUUCUGGGAGGACAGAGCUCAGAUGCAUGUUUGUGAGAAACUUCAGAAGCUGGUGUGAACAGUUCAGCCCAGCAGGAGUGGGAGGGAAUGUAGGGAUGGCACAAAUUUUAUUUUUUUCAAGAAUGCAUCUUCAAUGCCUUGUCCAGCUCCUGUCUCAGUUGUAGGGUGGGGUGAAGGGGGAAGCAAUGUGGAGAGGGAAAGUUUUGUUUUUGUUUUGUGGUUUUGUUUUUGUUGCAAUGAGAUCAAAGGUAGAAGGAGUAUUUUUUUUUUAACAACCAGUGUUUUAUUGAGUCUCACUAUAUGCCAGACACUGUUUAUAAGUUUGGCCAGCUUUUUACUUGGCAUUUUUAGUAGUUAUGAGGACUGCCAUUGUUGUGUCUCCUUAUCCUCCCUAUCAUUUCAUUUGUGUGUGUAUGUGUGUAUGUGUGUGUAUGUUUAAACCCUUACCUUCUCUCUUAGAAGUGAUACUAAGAAUCCGGUCUAAGGCAGAAGAGCAGUAAGGACUUGGCAAUUGGGGUUAAGUGAUUUGUCCAUUGCCACACAGCUAUCGGGUGUUGGAGGCUAGAUUUGAACCCAGGUCUUCCUGACUCCAAGCCUGGCUCUUUAUCUACUAAGCCACCUACCUGCCCUAUAAGUAGUUUUAAGAUUUACAAAGAACCUUACAAGCACUAACUCAUUUGAUUCUCACAAUAACCCUAUAAAAUGGAUUCUACUAAGAGAUGGGAAAACUGAGGCUAAGGGAAGGUUGUUAUUUGCUCAGGGCCACACAGCCAGGAAAUAUUUGAGGCAGGAUUUGAACACCUCUAUGUGCCUCUUCCUUAAUCUUCUAUUUUUUUUUCAAUUUUUCCACCUCUCCCACCUUUAGUCUCUUCCCAUCUCUUCCUUUAGUAUAUUUUCCUACUUGACCUUUCUUUUUUUAUUUUAUUUUUUUCCUACCUGACUUUUCAGUAGCUUCCAAUCCCUUUUGCUCUGUCUCCUCUCCCAAGUGUUGUGCCUUGGCUCCAGUUUCCUGACCAGAACCCCUCUGUUCAAUUAUUAUAUUCUACCCUGAGCUUUACCAUCUAACUUGACCCGCACAUUUUCCCAGAACUGUCAUCAUUAACUUUACUGAGAAGAGAAGGUCAAGAUGGCUUCUUUACUCCCAUUGCCUUGAGAGAAGGCAGAAGAUUGAAGUGAGACAGGAUGUUAUCAAUGGUCAACCAGCAGUGUGUCAACAUGGAAUCUAGGAAUCCAAAACUUGUGGCCUAGUGGGAUCUUAUGAACCUCAAAUUUCAGGACUAGCUUAUAGGUUGGAGACCCCAAAGCUUGUCCUUGUUCCCUGUUCCCAUGGGAAUCUACCCUAAAGGAAAUCCCAGGCCAGCAGUUUCAGGCUGAGUAGGGGACCCUCAGGGGAAUGCCAAUCCACUUGAGGUGGGAGCUAAGCUGGAGUUGAGUGACUCUUUGGCACAGUAGAUAGUGCAUUAGUCUGGCAAGCUGUAGAUCUCCAGUUGGAUCCUCAAGUUGAAUCCUUGGAAGGAGGGUGUGAUAUACUGGGAAAGGCUUCUGGAGACAGCCUGAAACUGCUAGCUUGGGAUUCCCUUUAUGAUAGAUUCCCUUGGGAACAGGGAACAAGAACAAACUUUAGGAUCUCCAAAUAUGAACAAAAUUAGGUUCAAGGCCAGAGAGGACCUCACAGGGAGAGUAGGCAAGAGUAUCUUGAUGUGUCUGUGCGAUUUGAAGCACCUGGGGUAAGAAUUCAAUAAUAAUUUUUUAUAUGUCUCUGCUAGAAGAGAUGAAAUACUUAAAAAAAAUUAAAUCCUUACCUUCUUACUUAGAAUCAAGACUGUGUAUUGAUUCCAAGGCUAGGCAAUGGAGGUUAAGUGACUUGUCCAGGGUCACACAGGUAGGAAGUAUCUGAGGCCAGCUUUGACCCCAGGACCAAUGAAAUACAUUUUUGCAUUUAAGUAUAAGACUGGUGUUCAAAUUCUAUCACUUAGUUGCUUUGUGACUGUAACGCUUUGAAUCUCAAUGUCUUCAUGUUUAAAUAAAGAUAAUAUUUCUGUCUCAUAGAAUUGUUAUGAGGAACAAAUGAGAUAUUAACCCUUACUAGCAGAAAGUUUUUUUUCUCUCUUCAAAUUUAUCUCCAGUUUUUUUCUAUCCUAACAACUCCACUACAGAGAUUUCAAAAAGUUACAGCAUCUACCUAGUAACCCAGAAGCCAUUUUUGGGGGGACCUUCUCCUGUCCUCUUGACAUGAGAUAGCUUCUUAUGUUAGUCCCUAAAGACAGAACUUGACUGAAAAGAUUCUUGUACUAAAUUCAGAAACCACUUAUUAUUCAGUCGUUUUCAGUCAUUUCUGACUCUUUCUAACCCUAUUUGGGGUUUUCUUGACCAAGAUAGUAGUUUGCCAUCUCCUUCUUCAUCUCAUUUUACAGUUGAGGAACUGAGGAAAACAGUGACUUGCCCAAAGUCACACAGCUAGUAAGUAUCUGAGACUGGAUUUGAACUCACGAAGAUGAGUCUUCCCAAUCCCAAGCCCAUUAUUCCAUCCAAUGUGACACCUUGAUGCACCUCAGAGAGGCCUAGGGUACCUAUAUUACUGAGUGGCUUCAUCCAUGCCUGCCAUUUCUCAUAUGCUGUCCCUUUAGACCUCUGUAGCCAGUUUUUCAAACAUAGCUUUCUCCCUUCUUGGGGAUCUUUAAUGUUAAUCAGAUUUUGCCUGUGAUAUAAGCAAUAGGUCCAUGGGUACAAUUGUCCUUUGUGUAAAGAGAUAACCCGUUUCCCUUGGUUGUUGUCCUUAUUUGACUCACAGUCCACCUUCCCUACAUUUAUACUGAUACUCCAUUCACUGUCUAGAGAGCCUGGUGCAAUUGGGUGAAUUUUCUUUUACUCAAAAAAGCCCCAGCUGUAGAAUGUAAGUGUUCGACAGAUGAUUUCUAAGUUUCCCCAGCUCUGACAGUCUGUCUGUGGCCUAACACUCUGUUAUAAAGACCUUCCCAGCUCUGGCAUGCUACAUUCUGUGAUUCACCAUUGUUUCCCUGGACUUCAGGACCCUCUGACGGAUUUUUUUUUUGACCCAGAUGCUUGUGCCCGCCCACCUUGGGGCCCCUACACAGCAUAGAUCCUGGGGGCCAGAGGGAAUCUAAGAAGACAAUGGGUUACUUGUCCACUCAGAAGAAGGAGGAGAAGGAGGGAAUUUACUGAUUGAUUGGAGGGGGAGGAGGACCAGCUGGAAUGAGUACAGAUUUCUGUCUAAGGAGCAAAGGUCCAAGUCUGAUCUGGACAAUAAACAGAACUUGGUCAUAAGGAGGACGUGGGCCUCAGGUUCUGGAGCUGGACAUUACUUGCAGGAUGAAUAUUUGGGAAUCAUGAGACUAAAAGAUUUGGCAAGAAAAUUGAUGACCCAGAGACAGCAGUGCUACAGGUGUGGGGCAGAGUGUCUGCCUGUCUUAUAACAUUCCACAGGACAGAAGGACCUAGAAUUGGAAGGAGCUUGGGGAUCAUUUAGGUCAUUUCUCAUUUGAUGAAUGAAGAAACUGAGUAUUAAGUAGCAGAACAAUGUUUGGAAUUUAGGACCUCUAAUUCCAAACUGAGUGUUCUUUCCACAAUUAUAGUUAGGGAUUCAAGAAGAACCAAUUUAAACCAGUAUAUGACUUUUUACCUAACCCCUUUAAUGUCAGACUCAUCUUCCUGAGUCCAAAUCAGACACUUACUACCUGUGUGAUUCUGGGCAUGACACUUAAUUCAGUAAUCUGGACAAGUCACCUAAGCCUGUUUGCCUCAGUUCCUCAUCUGUCAAAUGAGCUGGAGAAGGAGAUGGCAACCUAUUCUACCAUCUUUGCCUAGAAAACCCCAAAUGAGGUCACAAAGAGUCAGAAGCAAUUGAACAACAAUAGAAAGAACCCUGGAUGGAGAGACAGAAAACACUUCUAUGUGACCCCAGGCAAACCACUUAACCUUUCUGGCACUCAGUUCCUUAUCCAAAAAAUGAAGAGGUUGGGCAAGAGAACCUCUGAGGUUUCUUCCAGCAUCUUAUCUCCCAUUGCUCUUCUUAAGGUACCUACAGUAUAGCCAAACUGGACGAUAGUUCAUCACCCAAGCACCUAACAAUCCCUUCUACCACUCUGCCUUUAUUAUACAGUUCCAAUUUCAGGAAUGCCUUCCCCAAUUCUACCUAUUGACAUUCUUCCUAUUCUUUAAGUCCCAGCUCAAAUACUGACUCCUCCAUAAAGUCUUUUUUCUUUUAAACCCUUACCUUCUCUUUUAACAUCCAUAGAAGUAUCAAUUCCAUGGCAGAAGGACUAGGCAAUUGGGAUUAAGUAACUUGCCCAGUGUCAUAUCUAGGAAGUGUCUGAGGUCAGAUUUGAACCCAAGACAUCCUGUUUUUUAGGCCUGACUGUCUAUUCAUUGAAACACCUAGCUGCCCCCAGAAAGUUUUCCCUAUGGCUCUUAGCAUACAAUGGUCUUUCCUUCAUCUGAUUUCACAGUAUUUUAUACCCUUUCCUGAUGAUCAUUUCUAGUUUACAGGACUAGAACUCAACCAGACAAUGUUUAUUAAAGAUAGAUUCAAGAGUAACUAGGUGGCUUGACCCUGAGCAAGUUGCCCAUUGCCUGGCCCUUAUCACUCUUUUGCCUUUGAACCAAUGCUUGAAGGUAAGGGUUUAAAAAAUAAGAUAUGUUCAAUACAGGUCCUACUACCAAACUACUUUAUAAUCAGGACUCUAGAUAGAUUAUGAUGCUUGUUAUACCACAGCAUGCUGUCUCUAUCCUCUCCAAUGCUCAGCUGUUCCCUAUAAAGUUUAAUUUCUCUACCAGGAAGCACAAUAGUUGGAUCCACUAUAAGCAACCACACACACACUCACACAUAGAUAGAUUCAUACCAAAGCCUCAACCGAGGUCUUAUUGGUUGGUCUUUCCCUUAAAAUGUUUAUUGAUUUUCUGACCCACUACUCAGGUCUUCCUGAUUCCAAAUACAGAACUCUAUUCAUCCUACCACCCUCUACCUCUGGUGUAACCAUAAUGGGUGCUCAGACCUCCUUGUGGAGAUUAGCCACCCUACUGGGGGUCUGUAACACAGAAAAGGAAAGCCAUUUGCCCCAGAUCAGAAAAUAAUCAUGUAUGAAACUCUUGCCCUAAUGUGCAGUGCCCUGCAAGGCAGUUGUAAUACUGUUUUUCAAGAAUGACCUCGGGGGCAGCUGGGUGGUUCAGUGGAUUGAGAGCUAGGCCUAGACAUGGGAAAUCUUGGGUUCAAAUAUGGCCCUAGACACUUCCUAGCUACUAUGUGACCCUGGGUAAGUCACUUAACCCUCAUUGCCUAACCCAUACCACUCUUCUAUCUUAGAACCAGUACACAGUAUUGAUUAUAAGAUGGAAAGUAAGGGUUUUAAAAAAAAGACCUCUAAAUUGUUAUCUUUGUUACUGCUGGUAGUAGUAACGUUGCUGGAAGAGGUGGUGUGUGUUGGAAGGGGGAUAGAGAAAAAGAGAGAGAGAGAGAUGAACAAGGAGAAGGAGAAAGGGGGGAAGAAGAGGAAGGCUCCUAAAUUCUUUCUGACAAUUCUAACCCUCAGGUAGGCAUGUAGCAUUGUCAUUAUUAUCUCCUCCAAUGAGUCUGGUUUUGUGCACAUGCUCCAGAUGUGAGGCUUGAGUUACACUUAAUAAAAAAUCCUUACCAGCUCCUUUUGCUUUUGGUGACAAAUCAGUUCAGUUCCACAAUCGGUCAUGGAGCAUGUUGUGUGUACAAAGCUCUGUGGUCAAGUUACAGAAUUUACAGAGAAGAAUAAAUUUUAAUCCCACUUCCCAUUACCACUUGAAACACCCUUGAGAUUAUUUCUGGGAUGGCUUCCCAUCAUGAGUUCGCCUCUGUGUAGCUAAGAGAUCUCUGUAAUAUUGGUUAUAAGACAUUUACCAUUGGUGCAGGACAGGGAGGCAACUGGUUAAUCUGAAUAAUAAAAAUCUUUUCAUGUUACAUCCCACAAAAAUUACCCAUUGGGGACUCAGAAUGGGAAGUGGCAUACCCACCAUUAGAAAGACUACCACUGAUGCCAGGGAGGCCUCCUUCCUGAGUUGAGCCAGAUCUUAGUGCAAAGAUGAAGUCUAAGACUAUCUCCCUCUCUCCCUCUCUCUGUCUCUACCUCUGUUUCUCUCUCCCUUCCUCUUCUUGCAAACAUCCACACCACCAUCACCACUGCAUCCUGUGAAAGCCUCCAUUGUUGCUACAUCAGAUGCACCUAGAUAGUAUAGUGAACAGAGUGCUGUACUUGGAAUCAGGAAGACCUGAGUAGUUGGUUAAAAAAUCAAGAAAAUGGGUAGCUCAGUGGAUUGAGAGUCAGGCCUAGAGACAAGAGGUCCUAGGUUCAAAUCUGGCCUCAGACACUUCCCAGCUGUGUGACCCUGGGCAAGUCACUUGACUCCCAUUGCCUAGCCUUUACCACUCCAAGGCAGAAGCCUUGGAGCUAAUACACAGUAUUGACUCCAAGACAGAAGGUAAGGGUUUAAAAAAAAUUUUUUUUUAAAUCAAGAAAACUUUUUUCUCACUCACUCUGUGCAGGGCACUGGGCUAAGUACUAGGGCUACAAAUAUGAAAAAAACACAGUCCCUGCCCUCAAGGAUCUUACAAUUUAAUGGCAAAAGACCCUGAAAAGUUAGGUGAAAAGGAGAUAAAAGAGAAUGUGUAUGAUGAAAAAGCCAGAGAAGUCUCAAAGUAGUGAAGCCAGGUGAAAAAUGAGAUGUUCUGAGCUGUGCUCCCUCCUACAAUAGAGAUUUUGGAGUUCAUUUAUCAGUGGAAAAAAGGCCGAUGAUGAAUCUCAAGGCCAAUGGGAUCUGAUGAGGUUUUCCCAAUAAUAAGUUCUCUGGGGCUGUGGUCAAGAAGUCAGAGCUGCUUCCAAAGUACUGGAGUUGGGUAAGAAAUGAAUACAAAUCUUGCCUCAGACACUAACUGGCUAUGAGACUUGUUUGAGCCACUGAACCCUCUAUGCCUCAGUUUCCCAGAAACAACAUGGAUUAGAGCAUAAUACAGGAGAUAACUCUCCUGGGAGCCAAGAAGACCUGGGUUCAAAUCCUGUUUCUGACACUUCACCCCAUUUGCCUCAGUUCCCUCAUAUGGGCAAGUCAUUUCACCUCAUUUGCCUCUGUUUCUUCAUCUGUCAAAUGAGCUGGAGAAGAAAAUGUCAAACCACUUCAGUAUCUUUGCCAGAAAUCCCCAAAUGGGAUCAGAUGUAACUGAAGAGUCAGACAUAACUGAAAAAAAUAAAGGAUAUUAAUAAAAUUAAUUUAAAAGGUGGCAUGUUCUGAGAAGUUAUUAUACAAAAUUAUACUUGAAAACUUUAAGAAUCUAUAAUUUUACCUAUGUGUGCAGUCCUUCAGGCUGUAAAGACUGCAAUCUUUCCAUACCUAAGUAGAUAAUUUAAUCAGCUGCAUCUGCAGAAUCAACUUUAGAAUUGUGGUGGUAGACACUUCUAAGACUCUCUUGGACAGCAAAGAGAUCAAAUCAGUCCCUACUUAAAGAAAUUAAUUUAGACUAUUUAUUGGAAAGUCAAACACUGAACUUUGGCCAUAUAAUGGAAAGACAGGACUCAUGGGGAAAGAUAUUGAAGUUAGGAAAGAUUGAACACAAAAGGAAAUGACAUCAGAGGAUAGGAUGGAUAGAUAGUGUAAUGAAAACAAUGAAUAUGAACCUGGACUGACUUAAGGAGCUAAUGGAGAAUAGAAGGGCCUGGCAAGGUAUGGUCCACAGAGUCACAAAGAGUUGGACAUGACUGAGCAACUGAGCACCAAAAAGCUGCUGAAAAAAAGUGUCCCAGACAUGUUCCUCUCUGCUUUUAUCCUCAGAUAAACAGUCUUCAUCAAGUCUGCAGCACAAAUUAGUUGAAAGAUUGCUGGUUUUGAAGUCCAAAGACCCAAGUUUGAAUUCCCCCUCUGCUACCCACUAGUUGUAUGACUAUGGGCAGGUCACAAAAUAGGGAUAAAAAUAUUUGUACUAUGAAGCAAGAUACAAAAUCUGAGUGUCUCUUCAGACUCUCUAAGUUAUCUGUAAGUUACAGAUGAAGAGAUGAGUUACCAGUCUACAUCUAUGGAGACAGAAUUCCACACUGAGAAUUUCAUUCAAUAAUAAUAUAUCUUUCUUCAAUAAUAUAUUUCUUCAUUGAUUUCCUUUAUGAAACUUCUUGAACAUAGGACAUCAUUGGAAAUAAUGCUGUGCCUAAACACUUUGUGAUGUCAUUUUUUUAAAUAGCAAAAUUUGUUAUUUUACUUAAAAUUUGGUCUAUGUCCCCAAAUUUGAAUUUGGUUGGAUUUGUUUGUUUGUUUUAAUGGGGAUGACUAUUACCUUUCAAGGAUCUGGAGAUAAGCUUGUGAGGCUGUACUUUUAAGUCUGAAGUCAAUAAACCCCUGCCAGUGUGUUUUCCAUUAGUAACCAGUCAAUAGAUACUUCCUUUUACUAAAUAAUUGUUCUCUUCCCUUGGCCUCAGAGAUACUACACUCUCCUAGUUCUCCUCAUUCUCUCAUGUUUCUGUCAACUCCUUGUCUGUCUCCUUUCUGGGUUCUGGCCAUUUUAUAUUAAUGUUCCCCAAGAAUUAGGACCAUAAAUUUAGAACUGGAAAGAGAUCUUUAAGGCCACUUAAUUCAAUUUCCUCAUUUUUCAGAUGAGGGUACAAGCUGUUAUUGUUGUUGUUGGUGGUGGUUUGAAGGAUUUCAUUUUAAAAAAGGACCAAUGAUAUCAUGGAGUCUUGACUUGUAAGUGAAUUGGAUUUAAGUGAGACAGAGUUGCACAAAGUCUUUGGCAUCACUCUCUCUUAUUCAGAGUCAUUGGAGUCUAAUGGAAAAACAAAAGUAAGGAAAACUAGUGAUGAUCCCAGAUGCAGUGAAUGACCCUGGCAUCUUCUAUGUCUAACCAAGCUCUAAGCUCUCUACGGUGCUUAUUUUAGCUGGCUGCCUUUAUGAUCAUUGGAACAAAUUAUUUUCAUCUGCCCCCCCCUUUUUUUUUUUUUGCUGAGGAAAGACUUUCAAUGCUUGGGGAAGAGAUUUCCCAAAAGUACUGUUGGGUUUGAGGUCUGUUGGUUACUUUCAACCUGGUUUAGCUAUCUACCAAGACAGUUUUACUGGAGUCUGGCCACUGUGCAAGCUUCAACUUCUUGGAGCCACAGGUGAGAGUUAGGUGGAAGGUAGACACCAAAGGUAGAUGAACAGCUCUGAAAAGAGUUCAGCAAAUUCUCACACCAGAGUUACUAGUCUUCCCUAAACACCCCAUAUAUCCCAGGGGUCAAGCUAAGAGAAUAGGAAAACAGAAAAAGAACAAGUACUUUCAUCUAGGGAAACGGGAUAUUCUCAUGGAAGAGGUAUAAAAUCUGAAAUGAGCUUUGAAGAGAAGGAAUUCAUUUGGCAGAUAUGAAGAGAGUACUCUCCAGAUAUAAUGGGAGCUAAUCAAGUGAUCUUCUAAUUUAUUAUGAUUCUACCACAGUCAACUUGAUGAGAUUACAGGACAUGAACUUUUGUUGGAAGUGAGUGGGUGGGGGCAGAUUUCUGGUAGGACUAGACAUACGUCUUUGCCUGUUGCUGAGAGAUGAAUUCCUCUGAUUGGUUCCCAGUGACCGGGUUGCCUCCAGGAUGAUUUAUGACUAAGAAAAGCCAAGGGAUAUAUGUACUCUGCUUUGAAGAAAGGCUUUCUCAGUGGCCUGCAAGGGCUAUGAAAAACUCUUGACUCCUUUUUUCUUUUCAAAUACUUUAUCUACCUGUAGAAAAGAAUGGUAGUCUCCUUCUAUUAAGUUCAGCAAGGUAGAAUUUCUUCCUCUUUUUUUUAUUUCUCCCUACCACUGAUGGAAACAUAAAACAGCAACAUUUUUGUUCCUCUGUUUUUGUAGAGGACCAGUGACAUGGAAUGAUGUCUUGAUUUGGAGUAAAUUGGAUAUAAGUGAGGCAGAGUCGCACAAAGUUGUCAGCCUCACUUUCUCUUCUAAAGUCAUUGAAGUCCAGUGGCAAGACAAAAGUCAGAAAGACUGGUGAUGGCUCAGGAUGCAGUGGAUGACCUUGGCCUUUUCCAUGUCUGACCAAUCUCUAAGUGUUCCACAGUGCUUGUUUCAGGUACCUUCAUGGCUGUUGGAACAAAUUGUUCUCAUCUGUCCAUUUUGCUAGAGGGAAGUUUUCACAUACUUGGGUAGACCUCAUUCUUACAACUUACCAAUGGGUUUGAGGUUUUUUUUUUUUUGAGGGUUUGAGGGUUAUUUUCCACCUGAUCUUAGUCUACCUGCUGAGACAGUUUUACUGUGAUGUAGCCACUUCUCAUGCUAUAGCUUUUUAGUACCACAGGUGGGGUGGAUUUGUGAUUUUAUGAUGGCCACCAGAAUCAUAAAUGGAAACACACAGAAGCACAUAGUAAGUGACCUGUGCUUAUUCAAGAGGUGCUCAUGAUCUUAAAAUACUUGGCAGCCUUUAGCCUUUCUCUUUCCUUUUCUAAGCACAGGUUAGACUAGCAGUUCUGAGAAUGAUUAUUGCCACAUAGGGAGUUACCUUUUAGAUAGUGAUAAAUGAUUAACUAGUUCUUGGGGAAAAGAUAUAUGUAAGACACUCUAUUAAGUUUAAUCUGCAUUAUUAAUAUUUUUCCAUCACUUUCUUAAGUCUAGGCAAUCAACAAAACAAUAAAUCAGGCCCAGCAUUCUGAGGCAUAAAUGCUCACAUUGAUAAUUUAACAAGAGGAAACUCUAGGGGAGUUCUAGCACAGCCCUCUUUUAGGUGAUCUUGAGUUCUGUGUAUUUUCAAGAGAUCUUAUGGUUUCUGAGUUUCAGAGAUGGGCAUUGACUCCCACAAGUGAGAAGUUUUCCUUAAUAGCAUGAUUCUUAGAGAAGAAGAAAGUCACUAAUAAUAGGAUUCUGCAACUGGAGGGCUUAAACCAUAUCAUAGGACACUCAGACCUGACCAACCCUGGUGCAGUAUUGAAGUGAAAGGGAAAUAUUUAUUCAGUAAUCUCCCUAAGGGUCUUUCCCUUCCAUGGAGGCUAAUGUAAGGAUUGGGUAAAGGGAAUAAGGAAGGGUUGUAAUAGGAAAUGGAGGAGAUGAAAGGACAGAAAGAAUAAGGAGGGCUAGUGAAGUAGAGGAGAAAAUCACUGGACUGAAAUGAUCUUUGUAAUUUUCCCUUUCCCUUACACUUCAACCCUAGAGAGAGGUACUCCUGAGCUGAUGUUAAGGCAAGGAUGAACAGGAUCAGUGUCUCAAUGAGUAGGCUUCUGAGGAAUAAUGGAGUUUACUUCUCUCAAGGUUUGACUGGUACUUGAGCCCCCAGAAGUCCCACUGUCCUUUCUGGCUCUUUGUUGUUAGCCAAGGCUAAAUGGCCAGCCUAGCCAACACCCUCUCUUUCUUUGUCCUUCUAUGAUUUGAAUCUGACUGUGAGUUUUUUCAAUACAAGAUUGUUUAUUAAUUCAAGUGACAAAAAAAGGGGGGGGUAGGUCUGUGGGAAUAGGAGACCUACGGGUUAUCUUUGUCCUUCUUCAGCUGAGCCAAAUGGCUCAGCUUCAGCUUCUCUCUCUCCUUCCUCUCUAAUCACUGUCACUGUCCUAUUCUAAUCAAAUGUCAAGUGUCCUCCUUGGGAAGAUCAAGGGAUAGGAAGGGUCUUUGGGGGGACCCUGUGAAGUUCAAAGGAUCAGCACCCCUUCAGCAGCAGUUGUUGUUCUUUUCUUAUUUUAGUUGAUGAUCUAAAGAUAUUAGGAAUCUUCUCUCUUCAGGGCAAGGUAAAUGGAGGCAAGACUCUGGCACCAAAGGGUAGGAUCUCGAGCUUGGGUCCUAGCUCCCGACUCUCCAGAGUUCACAUGGCAAAAGAUCUCUUUUUCAGCUUUUUCUCCCACUAGCUUCUUCUCCUGCUCCAACUGCCGCUCCCCUUCCUGGCAACAUUCUAAACAAUGGUUCUUCAGUCUGGGUUUUCUUUUCCACACUAAUGAGAUGUCAUUUGAAUGUUUUAUUUCUUAUUUGUUUGAAUAAACCCAUGAGUCCUUUGUGUCUUUUAUAUUUUCUGUGGUAGAAGAAAUGAAAGCUUUCCAAACUUAAUAUUCUAAUUUUGUUGUUGAAUACCCUUGUGGAAAGGACUCUGCUACCUAUAUUGGGGAAAACCUAGACAGGAGCCAUGGCUUAGCUUAGUUUUGGAGAUUUCCCUAGAGUUUCAUUCUAAGUAUGGAUAGAGUGAAAGAGAGACUUUGAUCUUUGUGAUUAGGCCCUCAGCUUCCAUGUCUGUGUAGGCUCCAAGUCCUUAGGAAGUCCUAAACUUAUUAAAUGACUAAAGGUUCAAUUUGGCUAGAAUGUAGAGUGCCUGAAAGGAAGUAAUAUGAAAUAAAACAUGCAACCUCAUUAAACAGGGCCUUAGAACCAUCAAAAGAAAAUUCAGAAUUUGAUGAUGAACAUAGGAUUAUAGAUUUUUGAGUUAGAAGGUACCUUUUAUGUCUACCUCAAACCUUUCAUUUUACAGGGGAGGCCAGAUAGGGGAAGUAAUUUGUUCAAGGUGACAUAGUAGGUGAAAAAGCUGAGCUUUGAAUCCAGGUUCCUGAGCCUCAGUGGACCCGUUUUCCAACUAUACCAUGAUUGUAAGCAGAUGAGAGGGAAUUAGUGGAGAGAGAGUGAAUAUGCAAGAGAUCUCCAGUAGAUAAAUGAUCAAAGGAUAUAAAUAAUUUUCAAAAGAAGAAGUACAAACUAUCAAAAACUAUAUGAAAUAACAUUUUAAGUCAUAACAACUUGGAGUCCCUACCUUAGAUUUGUCACAUUGGCAAAGAUGAGGAAAAAAAUAGCCAAUGAUGGAGGGGCUAUGGUAAGGUGGGCUCAUGGUGAAGCUUUGAAUAAAAACAAUUUGGAAUUAAUUGAGAAAAGUUACUUUAAAAGUUUAAGAACAUCAACAAGCCAACCAUUUAGUAUAUACCACACACAGGUCAAAAAUAAAAAGGACCCAAGUGAAUCAAAAUAUUCAAGAAAACACUUUUUUGUGAUAGCAAAACCAACUAGAAAUAAAGCAGGUGCCCAUUGUUAUGGAAGUGGCUGAACAAAUUGUGACAUAAAUUAAUAGAAAACGAUUGAGCAAUAAGAAAGAUUUUAGAGAAACAUGAAAGGACUAGUAUAAACUAGAAUGGAAUAGCAAACGAAGAAAUGGUAUACAAUGAUGAAAGUAGUGCAAAUAGAAACAAUUAAAAAUAGUUGCAUUCAGAUGAAAUACAAUGACCAAUAUUUUUUUCAAUAUUGGUUCAAUUUCUCCCAGGGAGAAAUGAUAAAACAGUGAAGUAGAUAGAGUACUAAACCUAGAGUCAGGAAGACCUGACCUCAGACACUUACCAGCUGUGCCCCCUGGGCAAAUUCACCUAAACGCUAUCUGCCUCCAUUUCUUCAACUAUAAAAUAGGGACAAUAUUAGCACCUACUUCACAGGGUUGUUGUGAGGCUCAAAUGAGAUAUUUGUAAAGUGUUUAGCAUAAUGCCUGGCAUAAAGUGGUACUUAAUAAAUGCCUAUUCCUUGCUCUCCUUUAGGUAGAAAGUUAGAGGAGGGUUGGGGAGGGUAUAAGUUCAGAAUAUUGUAUCUAAUGCUAGAUAUGACCAUUGUGUAGGUUAGUUUUAGUUGUUGUUUUAACAAAGAAAGUUUCUAUUGGGAGGGAUGAGUAUAGAGAAGUAUCUGCAGAAUAAAAUAAAUAAAAAGUGUUAAUAAAAUAUCUUGAAAGGAUGCAAGAGAGAAGAGAUGGUUUCCAGGACAGGUAGAAGAAUCAGGCUGCUUUCUAGGCUCAGUGUAGGACUGGAUACAGAACAAUAAAUAAUUGUACAUUUCCUGUGUAAUGGGGAAUGACACAUGGGCAGAGUGCCUCUGAGAGUGUUACCCUACUUGAAGGUGAUUUGGGAUCUUGCUUCCAGGAGAGGAGAGACUUUAGAGUUCAUGUAGAUAUUUUGUAAUUGGUUCCAGUCUGCUAAUCAAUCACUUGCUUAGGAGAAGCUUCUUGAAUUGGCUGCCUAGUCAGAGUUAGUGAUGCUUCCAAAGGGGCUUUGGUUAGCCUCAGCCCUAUUCUGUUCAGCCACUUGAUCUUGGGGAAGCCAUGGUUCCUUCAAUCAUCAAAGUGAGGGCUGUGCUAUAAAGAAGGAGAAUUUGAAUCUGUGAACCCAUUGAAGAGAGGCCUUGGUUCUUUUACUUAAGGUUACAUUUUAGGAGAAAGGAGAUUGAUUUCCCAGGUUCCAGUGUCCCAGCGUCCAGGUUUUGCAGCCAGCUCAGCUUUAAUGCCCCCAAGAAACAAAGAGUGACCUUUGGGGCCAUUGAGAAGAGAGGCAGCAUUUGGAUGUGAACUUGGUGGAACCAAUUCUGUGUAGAGAGAGAGCAAAGUCUGAGGCUAUUUUUCCCGGAGAUGGAAAUAGGACAGUUCAGAGUUUUAUCCCAAGGUGUUGGUGGGAAAUGUUUGUAUCUUUGCCAUUGCUCUAUGUUCAAAGUAAAUACCCCUUUGCAAAAGCUAAUUGAUGUGGUUAAAUGAAACUAGGGUGUAACAAUGAGGGUGGGGACUGUGAAUUUCAAAACUACUCAACCCUGUUCAAACCAUUCUUUAGAGGAUGGGAUUUGGCUAUUUCCUGAUCAAUAACAAUAGAGAUACUUGGAAUGACAGAAUCAGGUCUUGGAAACUACAAUCUCCACCCUACUCAAGGUAACAGGAUUUAGGAAGGGCUGCAGCAAAGCUCAAGAUUUAAUUAUUUGAGAAUAUGACCUUCAACAGACAUGUGCAAAGGGGACAGACCUCUGGGCGAUCCUGGGUUAAGCUAGAGCCACCAUUGGCCAGGGGAGACACAGGAAGUGGGGUAGAGGAGAGCUGAGGAGGCUGGGAUUUCCUGUGUGGAGGGUGAGUGAGGUAGUUGGAGCCUGGUGCUUGAGGUGGAGGCCCAAGACUGUUUAUCCAUUUUGGUCAUGUGAGUGAUAGGGACUGAUCUCUUUUCUUUGCCUCAGCUAUCCAAGGCCUUGGGCCUUUGGCCCAGCCUAAGCAGAGUGGGUAUUUAAGCCCUAUUCCCUUAUCUCCCCUUUCUCUCUGUCUCUCUGUCUCACUGUCUCUCUGUCUCUCUCUGUCUCUCUCUGUCUCUGUCUCUCUCUCUCUGUCUCUGUCUGUCUGUCUGUCUGUCUGUCUCUCUCUGUCUCUCUUUCUGUCUCUCUCUCUCAUACCUUUCUUCCUCCUGUUAGUAAUUAAAAACUCCAUAAAAGGUUGACUGCUGACUUGACUUUUCACUUAGGAAUUACAUAGCUGAAUUCCUUGGCGACCUUAAAUUAAUAUAUAUCAGUCUUUUAAUGUGAUUUCCAUAUCACAGGACACAGAUGAUUAGGGCUCAAAGAACAUUAGAGAAGAUACCCCUUGCCCAAAUCUCUCAGAGUCCCCCCAGGAACCUUAAGGGGCAGAUGUAGCAGGCCUCCUGUGAAUCUGGAAACCUUUGACUAUUACUGUAAUUGAGUAUCAAACGACCUAUCAAAAAGUAUUUUCCUAACUUCCCACUUAUGGAUCACAUUGGCUCUGCCUCUGUCUUUAAAAAAAAAAAAGUAAUUUUUUUUCCAAUCACAUGUUGAAAUAGUUAAAAUUUUUUUUAUUUUCAUGCAAAACUCACUUAAGAGCACAUUUAUGCAUAACCAAAACCCCAAAAUAAAACCAUAAAUACACUGAUGGGAAAGAUGACUCCGAGUCAAAACAAUUUUUUAACAUUCACUUUUUUUUAAAUUUUGAGAUGGGGCAGCUGGGUAGCUCAGUGGAAUGAGUCAGCCCUAAAGACGGGAGGCCCUAGAUUCAAAUUUGACCUCAAACACUUCUUAGCUGUGUGACUCUGGGCAAGUCACUUGACCCCUAUUGCUAAAACAUAGUCCUGAUUCCAAGACAGAAGAUAAGAAUUUUAAAACAUUUUUUUUUGAGUUCCAAAUUCUCUUGGUUCCUCCUUUCCUUCCACCCUCCCUGAGAUGGCAAGCAAUUUGAUAUUGAAUAUGCAUGUGCAAUUAUGAGAAACAUACUGUCUCUGGGAAAAGUCCUGUAGUCUAUUUUCAAUUCUGCCUCUACAUUUAUUAGCUAUAACUGCUGACAAAUAAUUUAACUUUCAUUAUCCUCAGUUUCUUCAUCCACAAAAUAGUAAUAUGAUAUUGUCUGCCAUUUCUAUAGUGCUUUAAGUUUUGCAAAGCUCUUUUUUUUCCUUUGAUUUGGCAUUAGGAGGUAGAUGAAAUUACUUCCAUUUGACAGAGAUGAAAACUGAGACUGAAAGAGGUUAAAUGAACUGAGCACACUCACACAACUAGUAAGUGACUCAGCAGGGAUUUGAACUUAGAUCUUCCUGAUUCUAAGUCUAGCACUCUCCCCAUGAUGCCUCUCAAGAAUAUAUGAUGCGGGGGAUCAGAUAAGCGGCCCAGUAAAUAGAGCUCUAGGUCUGGAGAAAGAAGGUCUUGGGUUCAAAUGUGAACUCAGAUACUUCCUAGCUAUGUGAUCCUGGGCAAGUCACUUAACCCUGUCAACUUUGAAAACCACAGAACCACUAAAGUAAUCAGAAAGAACAAGUCUUAAAAAAAGAAAGGAAGAACAAGUCUUUAAUCAGGGUAAGAGCCAGUACUCAAGAUUUGGCCACCACAGUCAAGUGUUUAAUACCACACAGGGGCAAAGCUCUGUGACUUUGGGAACUCUGGGAAAACACACUGCCAAAUAUGAUUUUCCACAGAAUAAUAGAACUUGGGUGCCUUAUAUACUUUUUGGGGAAAAAAGGACAAGGAAAUAUAAUUGAUUAGCUUAACAAUGGCCACAAGGAAAUGAGGAGUCCAGGGCUGGAUUAUCAGGCUGAUGUUUUACAAUGGAUACAAAAAUGUGAUUCCAUCCAGGGGCUGCAUGAGCUACCUGGAAAGUGGUCUCUGGCACAAUGGGAGAAACUUCUAAGACAAAAAGUACUUAAGAUUUGAUUAUAUACUAAUUUAACCUAAACUAGAAUCAUUAAGUACUUUAAGGUUUAUUGUUCAGUCUGAGACCAGAUCAAUCUGGGACUUCCCUUAAGGAAAGUUCCCAAAGGGGCAAACUUGGGGGUUCUAAAAAUCACAUUUGGCAACCCCAAACUGCCUAGCCUUUACCACUCUUCUGUCUUAGGAUUGUUACUAAGACAGAAAGUAAGGAUUUAAAAAAUAUAUGUGUAUAUAUGUAUAUGUAUAUAUAUGUAUAUAUAUAAUUCCCAAACAUAUUAAUAUAUAUGAUGUGAAUUGGGAUAGAACAGAGUCUAAAGGACCAGACUUUUGACCUUGUGUGGAGUGAGAAAUUAGUGUGCUAUUCUCAAGUUUGUAAUAGUUAUUAAUAUCUCCAAAAGCUUAGUAAAAGCUGUUCCCCAGCCCCCAUCCUUACAAAGACUUUACAGCUUUUAAGUUAAGUGGAAUUUGCCUUAAGCAGGAGUCCCAGGCUGAUGGUUUUGGAUCCUGAAAGUAACCCAAAGAUCAAAUCAUUGAUUGAUUGAUUGAUGCAUUCAUUUAAUUUAGAGUAUUUUUCCAUGGUUACAUGAUUCAUAUUCUUUCCCUCCCCUCUUCCCUUCCCUCUCCCAUAGCUAAAUGAGCAAUUCAACUGGAUUUUACAUGUAUCAUUGAUCAAAACCUAUUUCCAUGUUAUUAAUAUUUGCAGUAGAGUUCAAUGAACAAAUCUCAAGUACCAACCUUGAGUACCCUUUUGUGUAGAAGUCACUUCCAUUAUGCUCCCAUUAUAUCAAGCCCAGUGGCUGGAAUGAUACUCAUAUUAGCCCCUCCCAGAUAACCCAGUCCUAAACUCUUCUCUUUGUAUCUGUCUCCAACUUCCUUAUCAUUUCUUUAAAAUGUUAAAGUGGUUGAGUGGUUGAGUGACCCCCAUUUCUCUCUCUCUCUCUCUCUCUCUCUCUCUCUCUCUCUCUCUCUCUCUCUCUCUCUCUCUCUCAAUAAAGCAUUAUAUUUUAAGUGAUGGAUUUCCCUAGUCAUAUUUUUAGUAGUGGUUAAAGAGGAUAUACUUCAAUAUUUUCAAGGUCCCCUCAAUUUCUGCUUCACACAGCCUGAAAUGUAAAUGAACAGGGAAUGUUUUGGAGAGGGAAGGGCAAAUUUUGUUUUGGGGGAAAAAAGCAGAGAAAGUAGUUAUUGGAAUUUAAUAUUGUUUGGGGAAUAGGAAGACCUUUUGGGAUCCUCUGGACUGCCUGGAUAAAGAAAAAAUUCACUUUGGCAGAAAAAUAAAUUAUUUUGUGAGAAUCAGGUCAAAUUAAAAUGUCCUUAACUGAGCCCAUCCACCCCAGGAGAGGAGAGCUUUUUCGUUCUGAAUUUUGGAUGAAAAGUUUUACUCCAAAUAAUGGCCUUUCUCUGGGCUCUAAGAUUUUCUCUGGAUAACCUGGCAUCCCUCUGCAGACAUUUGGAAGGAGGCAAUCUUGCUUUGUUAGAGGCUUAGGGAGGAGGUGGAGUAGGGAGUUACUAAAUCUCUCUCCAGGGGUUAAAGUCUCACUCUAAAGAUGGGUUUGAGCCCCCCUCCCCCUCUGGCCAGGCAUAUUAUCUCUGUUCUUUCAUCCCUAUCCCAUGGGGCUUAAACAUUUACCCCCCAGCUUUGCUUCACGGUCUCUGAGCAAUGUUUUCUUCAUCUCCUGGACUUUGGCCAUGACGGACACCAAGCUCCACUUAGUGACUUAAGGGGAAAGAAUGACUUUCUUAACCUUCAGAGAAUUUGGCCCUAAUCCAGUCCUAUCCUCUAGCUUCCUAACCUCUUUACAAUAAAAUGCUAUAUAUCUGGCCCCAACUCUAAUCCCCUCCUAGGCCAUUGAUUUCUCUGUGGCUCUACUUCCUUCUUUAUCAAAAAGAGUGCAAUAUGAUCCUUGAGAAUGUAAGUUGGAAGCCAGGAAAACUAGGAUUUUGUUUGUUGUUAUAGUUAACUCUCCAUUAUUUGUUUUUCGGAUUAUUGAUGAGAGCAAUAUGAAUCUAAUUAUCUGAUUGGUCAAACCAUGCACCCCCCCCCCAAAAAAAAAAAAACCCCAACCAAAAACCAAAAUGGGAAACAAGUCUAAAGAUUCAUCUCAAAAACCUAUACCAAAUUAGUUCUAAGGCAGAAGAGUGGUGAGGGCUAGGUAAUUGGGGUUAAGUAACUCAUUCAGGGUCACAUAGUUAAAAAGUACUGAGGUCAGAUUUGAACGCACCACUUUCCAUCUCUGGGCCUGAUUCUCAAACCAUUGAGCUCUCUAGCUUCCCCCAAAUCUAUUGAUUUUAUCUCUUGAUUGGGCAAUGGCUGAUCAAUUUAUGGACUAUGGAAAUAAUAUAAAUGUAAAGGGCCCACCCAGAAAGAACUUGGCCAAGAUGGACAAGGUUAUAGGAGGAAGGCUUUAUUCUGGCAUUGAAUUGGCUUCCUUAGAAAGAUGUAAACAUCUCCACUGAGGCCAUCUUUGAUUUGAGUUAUAGAAUUGGCUCCUCAGGGAGGGCUUAUGGAGUCUUCUGGCCUAGGGUACUACAUGUCCCAUUGAGGCUUCAUUAAGGAUGGCUGAUUCACUAAGAGCUAAAAUUGUUCUGGAGCAAAUUUAAUUGAAGGAAUAACAGAGGUGACUCAGAAGAUGGGUCCAAUGCUGAGAUAUAGGAAUUGGGUUUGUACAGUCAUGAUGCUGGGAGGGAGUAGCUUGUUCCCCAGAAUAUCUUCCCCCUCCAUAAGAUUUCUGGAGGGAGGUCUUUGAAGUAAGGUGAAAGGACUGGAGAGGUUAAUUUCCAAAAGGAAGAAGAAUUUUCCCUCCUUAAAUGUUAGGACAACAAGAAAAAGCCAUUCCCCUUCUAAAUCUGGAUCUGGGUUCAAUGAUAUCAUAUUGUAAAUGACUAAUUAAUUCAUGAUCAAUUGAAGAGUAUCUGAGUUGUACAUAUUUGGGUUCCAUCUUUUAAAAGAGGAACCAGACAGAGAAAACUAUAGGUGAAAAAUAGAGAUAGGGAAGGGUUUAUACAUAGGGGCACUGGGAGGCGGAGUCAAGAUGGCAGCAUAGAGGCAGCAAAAGUUCAGACCUCUGAAAACCCUUCUUUACCAAUUACAAACUACAUGCUCCUAGGGGACUGAAAAUCAAACCUAACAACAAGAGAGAGCCAAGGAAUCCUCCUGCUGGACUCAAUUCAAAAGGCACGCCCCCCAAAAGCCAGAAUUCGAGAACACUCGGCUUUAAGGGUAAGGAAGAAGGAAGAUCCCGGUACUCCUCCCCACCUAGAGUGCUAAGCCUCCAGUGGCAGCGGGAACCUCUGGACGGCAGAGGUGCUGGUCUGGAGGGAGUAUCUUGCAGGAAAAACUGUGCCAGGCUCAGAGAGUUGAACACAGGUUGUGGGGAAGGAACUGGAGAGGGAGCCCAGAACUGGCAGCCUGGUAACAGCAGUGGAGACCCUCCAUAUUUCUCCCACAUUCUGGGAGGUUUUGGCUUCAGGGCACAUCCAGCCCAAGCCAGCUGAACUUAAUCCCAUCAAAAGUCUUCAGAGGUGAGGGAAGCUCAAGCUCUGACACCCCUCCCCCACAGACUGCUGGACUUUAAUCCAAUCAAAGCCUCCAGAGGACAGGGAAGCUCAAGCUCCAACACCCCUCCCCUACAGACUGCUGGACUUUAAUCCAAUCAAAGCCUCCAGAGGACAGAGAAGCUCAAGCUCCAACACCCCUCCCCCACAGACUGCACUGAGAGAUCUCCUGACAAAGCUCCAAGAGGGGAGACUGAAAGAAAACCCCAAAGCCAAAAAAAAAUGAGAGGAGCAAGAGCAUAGACAACUGCAGGGAGUAAAGAAGGGGUAAAUAUGAGCAAACAACAGAAAAAGAAAAAGGGAAUUACAAUUGACAGCUUCUAUACAGGUAACAAACAAAGAGCAAAUGGGACAGAGGAGGAAGAAUCAUCAAACAAUAAAUCAGAAAUCCCAGAGAAUUGUAUACAGGUUUUGGAAGAGCUCAAAAUGCAAUUCAAAACACAAUUAAGAGAGGCUGAAGAAAAUUUGGAAAAGAAUUUAAAAACUAAGAUAAGCCAUCUGGAAACAGAAAAUAGUGUCUUGAAAUCCAAAAUCAACCAGCUUGAAAAUGAGGCAAAGGAGAUGAGAGAUAAGGCAAAGAAGAUGAAAGAUGAGAAAAAGGAGAUGAAAGGCAAGGUAAAGAGGAUGAAAGAUGACCUCCAAAGAAAAUCAGACCAGAAGGAAAAGGAUGACCAAAAAGCCAGGGAUGAAAUCCAGUCUUUAAGAACCAGAAUACAACAACUAGAAUUAAAUGACUUCACAAAGCAGCAGGACACUAUAAAACAAAAUAAAAAAAAAUGAAAAAUUGAAGAAAACAUGAAGCAUCUCAUUCACAAAACAGAAGAUUUAGAAAAUCAUUCUAGGAGAGAUAACUUAAGGAUCAUUGGUCUACCAGAAGACCAUGAUGAAAGAAAAAGCCUGGACAUAAUACUAUAGGAAAUGAUCCAAGAAAACUGCCCCAAAAUUCUAGAACAAGAGGGAAAAAUGGAGAUUGAAAGAUUCCACAGAUCACCUCCUGUAUUUAAUCCCCAACUUACGGCACCCAAGAAUGUUAUAGCCAAAUUCAAGAAGUAUCAGACCAAUGAAAAAAAUUUACAAGCUGCCAAGAAGAAGUCAUUCAGAUACCAUGGAACCACAGUGAGGAUAAUACAGGAUCUCACUGCAUCUACACUGAAGGACCGAAAGGCAUGGACUAUGAUAUUCCAGAAAGCAAGGGAACUGGGUCUACCACCAAGGAUCAACUACCCAGCAAAACUGACUAUAUUCUUACAGGGGAAAGUAUGGUCAUUCAACAAAAUAGAAGAAUUCCAAGCAUUUGUAAAGAAAAGACCAGACCUGAAGAAAAAAAUUGAUGCCCAAACACAGAACUCAAGAGAAUCAUCAAAAGAUAAUUAAAAAACAGGGAAAAAAGAAAAACAAAACAAAAAACCACCCUUUUUAAAGAGACUCAAUAAGUUAAAAUGAUAUGUAUCCCUAUAAGAAAAGAGGUCAUUGAUAACUCAUAAUAAUUAUUAUUAUCACCUGGGCAGCUAGAAGAAUUACACUUAGAGGGAACAGUGACAAACUGUAUAGGAUGAAAGGACAAGACAUAAAUAGGUAUAUAGAUAUAUGUAUGAUUAAAUACAUAUACAUGUGUGUGUGUAUAUAUAUAUAUAUAUAUAUGUAUAUACAUAUUUACAACUAGAGCUAAAAAAAGAGGUUAAUACUAAAACAAAUGGGAAAAGGAACAAAAGGAGGUAAACUUAUAUCCCACAAAGAAGCUCAUGGUGGGAGGGGGGAGAACAUCAAUACACUGGAAGGGUAAAGAGGUUGGAAAUAGGAAAUACUCAACUCUUACAUGCAUUGAAAUGGACCCAAAGAGGGAAGAACAAUCCAAUCCUUUGGGGCAGAGAAUAGAUCCGUGCCCUAUAGGGAAGUUGAAGGGUAACAAACAGACUGGUGGGGAGGGAAGCAGUAUAAGGGAGGGAGAGGGUGGGGGAGUAGUUUAAAAAAGACUGAAAAGAAAAUAAGGGGAGGAAUUAGAGGGGAGGGGGUAGAAAGGAAGAAAAUAAGGGUGGGAACUAGGGGAACUGAUAAAAACAAAUAUUGAUGUAGAAGGAAAUAGUGAAAGAAGAAAAGACAGGACUAGGAGUAGAAAUCAAAAUGCUGGGAAAUACACAGCUAGUAAUCAUAACUCUGAAUGUGAAUGGAAUGAACUCACCCAUAAAACUCAAGUGAAUAGCAGAGUGGAUCAGAAUCCAAAAUCCUACCAUAUGCUGUCUACAAGAAACACACAUAAAGAAGGUAGAUAUACAUAGAGUGAAAGUAAGAGGAUGGAGCCAAAUCUAUUGGGCAUCAACAGAUAAAAAGAAGGCAAGAGUCACAAUCACAAUAUCUGACAAAGCCAAAGUAAAAAUAAAUCUAGUUAAAAGAGAUAGGGAAGGUAAUUACAUCCUUAUAAAAGACAGCAUAGACAGUGAGGAUAUAUCAGUACUCAACAUAUAUGCACCAAAUGGAAUAGCAUCCAAAUUUCUAAAGGAGAAACUAGUGGAGUUCAAGGAUGAAAGAGAUAGAAAAACUAUACGAGUGGGAGACCUGAACCUUCCUCUAUCCAAACCAAAUAAAUCAAACCAAAAAAUAAAUAAGAAAAAGGUAAGAGAAGUGAAUGAAAUCUUAGAAAAAUUAGAGUUAGUAGAUAUGUGGAGAAAAAUAAAUAGGGACAAAAAGGAAUACACCUUUUCAGCAGCACAUGGUACAUUCACAAAAAUUGACCAUGUGUUAGGGCAUAAAAAUAUUGCAAACAAGUACAAAAGAGCAGAAAUAAUAAAUGCAACCUUCUCAGAUCACAAUGCAAUGAAAAUAAUAAUUAGUAAGGGUACUUGGAGAGGUAAAUAAAAAAUUAAUUGUAAAUGAAACAAUACAAUUCUCCAAAACUGGUUAGUUAAAGAAGAAAUCAUAGAAACAAUCAAUAAUUUCAUUGAAGAAAAUGACAAUGAUGAGACAUCCUUUCAAAACGCAUGGGAUGCAGCCAAAGCACUACUCAGAGGGAAAUUUAUAUCCUUGAGUUCAUAUAUUAACAAAUUAGGGAGGGCAGAGGUCAAUGAAUUGGAUAUGCAAAUUAAAAAACUAGAAAGUGAAAAAAUUAAAUCCCCAGAUGAAGACUAAAUUAGAGAUCCUAAAAAUCAAAGGAGAAAUUAAUAAAAUUGAAAGUCAAAGAACUGUUGAUUUAAUAAAUAAGACUAGAAGCUGGUACUCUGGAAAAAAAAACCCCAAUGAAAUAGGCAAAGUACUAGUCAAUCUAAUUAAAAAAUGGAAAGAUGAAAACUCAAUCGAAAGUAUCCAAGAUGAAAAGGGAGACCUCACCUCUAAUGAAGAGGAAAUAAGGCAAUCAUUAAAAACUAUUAUGCCCAAUUAUAUGACAACAAAUAUGGCAAUCUAGGUGAUAUGAAUAUUUUAAAAAUGUAAAUUGCCUAGACUAACAGAGGAAGAAACAGAUUACCUAAACAACCCCAUAUCAGAAAAAGAAAUUGUUCAAGCCAUAAAAGACCUCCCUAAGAAAAAAUUCCCAGGUCCAGAUGGAUUCACAAAUUAAUUCUAUCAAACAUUCAAAGAACAACUAAUCCCAAUAUUAUACAAACUAUUUGACAGAAUAAGCAAAGAAGGAGUUCUACCAAAUUCAUUUUACAACACAAAUAUGGUACUGAUUCUCAAGCCAGGCAGGUCAAAACAGAGAAAGAAAACUAUAGACCAAUCUCCUUAAUGAAUAUAGAUGCAAAAAUCUUAAAUAGGAUACUAGCAAAAAGACUCCAGCAAGUCAUCACAAGGGUUAUUCACUAUGACCAGGUGGGAUUCAUACCAUGAAUGCAAGGAUGGUUCAGUACAAGCAAAUAAACAAAAAUCAUAUGAUUAUCUCAAUAGAUGCAGAAAAAGCCUUUGACAAAAUACAACACCCAUUCCUAUUGAAAACACUAGAAACUAUAGGAAUAUUAGGACCUUUCCUAAAAAUAAUAAACAGAAUAUAUCUAAAACCAUCAGCAAACAUCAUUUGCAAUUGGGAUAAACUAGAAGCCUUCUCAAUGGGAUCAGGAGUAAAUCAAGGAUGCCCAUUAUCACCUCUAUUAUUUAACAUUGUACUAGAAACGCUAGCUGUAGCGAUUAGAGAAGAAAAAGAAAUUGAAGGUAUUAAAAUAGGCACUGAAGAGACCAAGCUAUUACUCUUUGCAGAUGAUAUGAUGAUCUACUCAAAGAGUCCUAGAGAAUCAACCAAAAAGCUAGUGGAAAUAAUCAACAACUUUAGCAUACAAAAUAAACCCAUGUAAGUCAUCAGCAUUUCUAUAUAUCUCCAACAUAUCUCAGUAGCAAGAAUUAGAAAGAGAAAUUCCAUUUAAAAUUAUGCUAGACAAUAUAAAAUACUUUUGGAAUCUAUCUGCUGAGACAAACAUAGGAACUAUACGAACACAACUACAAAACGCUCUCCACACAAUUAAAAUGAGAUCGAAACAAUUGGAAAAACAUUGAUUGCUCAUAGGUAGGAUGAGCUAACAUAAUAAAAAUGACAAUCCUACCCAAAUUAAUUUACUUAUUAUUGCCAUACCCAUUGAACUACCAAAAAACUUUUUUUUAAUGAAUUUGAGAAAACCAUAACAAAGUUCAUUUGGAAGAACAAAAAAUCAAUGAUAUGCAGAGAAAUCAUGAAAAAAAAAUGUGAAGGAAGGAGGACCUGAAGUCCCAGAUCUCAAACUAUACUAUAAAGCAGUGGUCAUCAAAACAAUUUGGUCCUGGCUAAGAGACAGAGAGGAGGAUCAGUGAAAUAGACUUGGGGUAAAUGGCCUCAGCAAUUCAGUCUAUGAUAAGCCCAAAGAUCCCAGCUUUUGGGACCAAAAUCCACUAUUUGAUAAAAACUGCUCAACUUUCCAAGAGCUCCUCUUCAUGAUCAAGUGAUCCCAUUCUGUUGUCCUAUGUUCUCCAGCAGAUUGCCCCCUUUAUCAUCCCCACUCUCUCUCCCUCAUCUUCAGUCUCUCCCUUUUUACCAGCUGCUUCCCUGUUGUUUAAAAACAAGCCCAAGUCUCUUCCAACCUUAAAAAAGUCCAAGUCCAGCAUCAAGACAAAGUCAAGAUGACACGUAAUGGCCUGGGAUGCAGUGGAUGACCUUGGUGCUUGUAAUGUCUGAUGAAGCUCUAGGCAUUCCAUACUACCUGCUUCAGCCACUUUUGUGGCCAUUGGAACAAAUUGUUCUCAUCUGCCCAUUCUGCUGAAGGAAGUCUUCACAUGCUUGGUAGAGAUACCUCCCUAACUCAUUGACAGAUUUGGGGUCCAGUUACCCUCAAUCUUUUUUAGCUGGUUUGCUGAGACAGUUUUACCAAGAGGUGACCACUACUCAUGCUACAGCUUCUUGGAACCACAGAUGAGAAUUAGGUGAAAGAUGGACACCAAAGGUGAAUGAGUAGCCCUGAAAAGGACUCAGCAAGUCCUCACACUAGAGGUGCUAGUCAUUUCUGAUCACUCUAUAUACCCCAUUGGGCAGUAGUCAAAUGGAGUUGCUGAGUGAUGGUGGUAGCGGAAGAGUCAGGAAGUGGCAAUGGGGACCCAGGAGUCUUCCAACUCCACCACCAUGUCCAUGAGUGGGGGAAUGAAUGAGAGGACUUCCAAUUCUGGAAUCUGUCACCCAGAGGGUGUCAGGUCUCUGAAAACCAGAAGAUGAAGGUAGAGUAAAAGAAAAAGAUUGAAGAUGAAAGCAAAUGUAUUACCUAUGGAGCAAAUAUUUUAAAGAGCACAGCGGAGGGAAUGGGUAGCUUCAGAGUGGGACAUGGGGGUGGGUUGCAUUGAGAGGAAUAGGAAUAAAGGAGCUGGCAAAGGAUGAAUGAUGAUAGCUAGGGAUUUGGAAUCAUUGGGUUGGGGAAGACUAUGACCAGAUGAGAGUUUGUUAAUCAUUGAAGAAUGUCUUCAGGUAGUUUAUUAAUAUCCCAAGGCUUUUACUUCAGGUUGGAGUUAUCUCAGGGCUAUUAGGCAGUUCAGGCAGUAGACUGGUGGUAGUUGACCAGAAAGCAGAAGACUUGGUUCAAUGGAGUGGCAUUUCCCUCUUUCCUCUGAACGAGACCAGACAUGAUAGAUAGGGUGUUGAACUUGGUGUCAGGAAAACCUAGGCUCAGAACCCAUUUCUGAUAUUUACCAGCUUAUAUGACUGCAAAUCUUUUUUUUUUAAUCCCUUACCUUUUGUUUUAGAAUCAAUACUGUGUAUUGGUUCCAAGGCAGAAGAGUGGUAAGGGCUAGGCAAUGGGGAUUAAGUCCUUGCCUAAGGAAACAUAGCUGGGAAAUGUCUGAGGUCAUAUUUAAACUCAGGACCUCCUGUCUCUAGGUCUGGCUCUUAAUCAACUGCCCCAACUUGCACAAAUCUUUUAAACUCACUGAACAUGUUUCCACAUUUUUUAAAUUAGGAGAUUAGCCCAGGUAGUCUCUAAUGUUUCUGACAUCCUUGAUGGCCUCUAAGGCCCUUUUCUAGGGGCAGCUAAAUUAGCUCAGUAGAUUGAGCACCAGGCCUGAAGUUAGGAAGAACUGAGUUCAAAUCUAGCCUAAUAUAAAUUUGCUAUGCGACCCUAGGUAUGUCACAUAACCCUAUUUGCCUUACUUUCCUCAUCUGUAAAAUGAGUUGGAGAAGAAAAUGGUAAACCAUUCCAGUAUCUGUGCCAAGAAAACCCCAAAUGAAGUCAUGAAGAGUUAUAUAUGACUGAAAUGACUGGAAAACAAUAACAAGGUCUCUUCUAACUCUAAUUCUAUGAACCUAUCAAAUUGUUUCUUUAUCUGUAGAAUGAUAAUAACUACAUUGCCUUCCUUAAAGGGCUGCUAAGAGAAUCAAGUGAGAUAAUGUAUGUGAAAUGCUUAAUAAAUCUUAAAGCCCCAUAGCUUUAAGCUACCAUCUUUGGCGAGGCAAAGUCAGUAUUCAGGAAUCUCCAAGUUCUCUUUCUGUGACUUCCCUCUUUCUUCAAGGUGACCUUUUCUUGUACACACUCAGCCACCAAGCACCCUCAUAAAUGUCUCCAGGUUUCAUAGAAUCCCCCACUGGGGCAUCAAUGAAGGCACUGAACACUUUGGAGUCCAAAAUUGUUUCUUUCUUCUUCCCAGAAUGAAAUGACCAAAAUUCUAUGUCUUACUCUCCAAGCCAGCAGUCACUGAGGAAAUCAAUUUGAAAAAAAAAAUUCUACUUGGGUAUUAAUUAAUGAUCAAUAAUAGUUUUGUUUCAAGAAAGUCAAAGCUAUAGAAAGAAUGUUCCCAUUUAAGUAAAAAUAUUUGUAGCAGAACUUUUUUUUGUAGAAGCAAACUGGAUACAAGGUAGAUAUCAGUGGGCUAAACACAUUGUGAUAUGCAUGUGGUACUUGACUAUAAUAGGUAUUUCUAUAUAGAGGGGAUGAGUAGGAAGAAUACAGAAAAUCAUGGGAAAAUUCAUGUGGAGGGAUGAAAAGUGAAGGAGUCAGUACCAUUUCUACCCUCAUUGCCCCAUCACUACCACCAGUAAGAUUUCUAAUGAAAAAGAAGCACUAAAAGAUAAAAGCUUGUGGGUUGUGGGGUUCUGGAACAAGCCUAACUUAGGCUGGUCCUCUGAUUUUGAUUUGGGAUUAGAACAAAAUGAAACAUUCUUAGACCAACAUCCCUAUUUUUUAAAGCUCAAUAACGUCAUAGAAAGUAUUUUAAUAAGGAUAUAGCAUUGUUUUAGAUGGACUUGGCACCUCUUGCUUUCACACAGCAAAAAAAGAGUCCUUCAAGUGUGAAAAAGACUAACUCUGUGUAGGGUUUUUUUUUUUUUAAUGUUUCAGGAGACCCAGAAGCUGCGUCAUUGGGUCAAGCCUUAAUCUUUGGUGCCAAUUAAGUCUUUUUUUUUUUUAAUCACCACCUUCCAUCUUAGAAUCAAUACUAUGCAUUGUUUCCAAGGCAGAGGAGUGGUAAGGCCUAGGCAAUGGGAGUUAAGUGACUUGUCUAGGAUCACACAGCUAGGAAAGUCAAGUAAAUCUUUUUUUUUUUUCAAUCUGGGCCAUACAUUUAUUAUUAUGCAAAACACACUUCCAUAUUGGUCAUUAUUGUAAGAGAAAACCAAAAUCCCCAAAUAAAACCACAAAUAUGCUUAUGUGAAAGAUAGCAUGCUUUGAUCGGACUCUAAUAGUUGUUUUUCUGAAGGUGGAUAGCAUUCCCCAUCAUAAAUCCUUCAGAAUGUUCCCAGAUCAUUGCAGACAAUUUUUUUUAAGGGAAAAACCCAGCUUUACCUACAUGACAAGAAUGUUGCUCUUACCACAGGUAGGCUAUUUGCUAGCAAAGGAAGUCCUGGUAUCCCUCAUAUUACAUCAUGUUGGUUAUCACCAACUAAAUUGCAAGGGUGUCCUUGAAGAUCAAAUCUUCCUGCUUUGCUGGUCACUGAGAACAGUUCAUAUGAAGUUCCACUGGACCAACCUAAAUAUCAGGGGAUGUUUACCUUGGAAAAGAGAAGACUCAAGGGAGCAUGAUAGCUAUCUACAAGUAUCAGAGGGGUUGUAACGGGGAAGGUGAAUGAAAUGUUUUCCAUUUGAUAAUAAGGGCAUAAGCAGGGACAAUGGAUAAAAGUUAAAAAGAAACAAUAACAUAAUUCAACAAAAGGAAGGAUUUUAUAGCAAUUAGAACAUUCUAGAAAUGGAACUGCCUUGUCAGGUCAUGGAAAUCUUCAAGAAAGUUUGAAUGACCACUUGUCAGGAAUGUUGGAGAAGGGUAUUGGGUUGGACAAGAUAACCUCUGUGGUUCCUUCUAACUCUAAAGUGUCUGACUCCUGCUUGGCCUUCCUCUUCUCUGGGGAGUCUGAGAGAACCAGAUCCAACCAGACUGGACUAGUUCCUACCUCCCAGCACAGUUUUCACAGAAACCACCUGCUACCUUCUUGCUCCCUCCCUUCAAGCAGGUGAGGAUUCCUCCUCUCAGCUGAUCCUUUGUCUUGGUCCCAGCUGGCUGAAGCAGGUGCAGUAGAGCAGAGGUAGGGGGUAGGGGAAGAUGGGAUUUUCCAUGUGCUCCCCUCAGUCUGGAGAUAGGAAAUAGAUUAGGGAUACUGGAGCCGAUGACUUUCCAUUUGGAGAGGCCCGAGGUAACAGUGUCCUGGUUGGCUGUUUGGGGAGGGAGUAUCAGUCUUCCAGCUCAGGCAGUUUGGGGAAAUAAUGAAGCAAACCCUGGAUUUAGAGUCAGAAAGACCUCAGUUCAAAUCUGGCCUCAUAUAUUUAUAAGCUCUGUGAUCCUUGGCAAAACACCUGAAUUCUGUCUAGCAAAGUUUCUGUAUCUGUAAAAUGGGAUAAUAAUAACACCUCCCUCCCAGGGUUGUUAUGAGGAUUAAAUGAGAUAAUUUUUAUAAAGGUUUAGCACGGUGCCCAUAAAAUAGUAGGUGCUUAUAAAUACUUGCUCAAAUAAAAGGUGGGUGGGGUUCACUGUAAGUUAAUGCCCUUGGAUGGACUUUCUCUAUCCUUUGAGUACUUCAUUACCAUUGGAUCCCAGAAGCCUUUUUGUCUUAAAAGACAAGUCUUAUCCAUUAUAGCUCAGAGAAGUUCUGCUUAUCAGCAGUACAAAAAAAAAUCCCAUAUACCUCAAACAAACCUUUCUCAUCCUACAGGGCUAAUCACUUGCCCACUCUAAGGAUUCCUUAAAGCCUAUGAGUUUACAUUUUAACAGUUAUUCUUACAUAUUUUGGCAAUAAUUAAUAUAUCAAAAUUUAGUCACAAAACCUGAAAUAAGGAAUAGGAGUGUUGAAUUGAUUAACUCCACAGUAAAUACAAAUCAGGGUUAGAUCAUCCAAGGGAGAGGAUCAUCCUGGUCUAAGGCCAUUUGAAAGAACUUAAGACAAGGUCAGUCAGGAAUUUCUCUAGGGUAACUUUCCAGAGAAAUUCUAGAAUCAUUUGUGAUUUUCCAAAACUACAUACAUCAAUUUUAGAAAUCAUCCCUAAGUUAAAGAUCCAAUUAUUAGAGUAAUCUGUCUGUUCUCUUUCACCUCCUCUCUCUCUCUCUCUCUAUAUAUAUAUAUAUAUAUUUUUUUUUUCCUUCAAACCAUAUGCUUAAAAAACAGAACACAACUUUCAUUCUCCCUCCACAAAUCUGCCUACCCAAGCUUUAUGGACUUUAGAUCAAAGUCCCUCUUUUUCCCAUAUUCAAACCCAACAUACCUCUUCACCUUCUCCAACUUGCCUUUUAACAUCUUAAGUCAAAUAAAUAGUCCAUUCAGUAUCACUGCAAUUGCUAAUCAAUAACCCAAAAGAAUCCUGAUUUAAAGGAUUCUAUCAUUAAAACACUGUAUAUUUAGCAUAGUACUCAUCAGUUAUAAAUUUCAGUUCAUAGUACAAAUUGGUAAACUGAGGUAAUCACUUAGGAUUGAACAAAAUCUAUUGUAUAGUCAGGUUUAAAAUGAGCUUUGUUUACAUUCAAACAAUGCUUAAAAUACAUGUUUUAGGAACAAUUCACAAGUCAUAUUUAAAAAGAAUAUCAUAAAGCUUUUAGUAUUAUAGAGUUUAUUUUCAAUUUAGAGAUUUGAUAGCUUUUUCCUUCUAGUGUUCAUACCUUGCACAAAUUCUCAGUGCUCCAGAAGCUCUCUCUUUUUAACCUUUUGAGUGCUAUAAACCUUAAAGAAAACCUUUUUUUUUUUGAAAAUUUUAUUUAGUCAAUUUAGAACAUUAUUCCUUGGGUUAUAAGAAUCAUAUUCUUUCCCUCCCUCCCCUUCCUCCACCCCUUCCCAUCACAAUUACACUGGGUAUUAACAUGUGUCCUUGAUCAAAACCUAUUUCCAUGUUGUUGAUGUUUGCACUAGGAUGAUCAUUUAGAGUCUACAUCUUCAGUCAUAUCCCCAUCGACCCAUGUGAUCAAGCAGUUAUUUUUCUCCUGUGUUUCUGCUCCCACAGUUUUUCCUCUGAAUGUGGAUACUGUUCUUUCUCAUAGAUCCCUCCAAGUUGUUCAGGAUCAUUGUAUUGCUGCUAGUAGAGAAGUCCAUUACAUUUGAUUGUACCACAGUGUAUCAGUCUCUGUGUACAAUGUUCUCCUGGCUCUGCUCCUUUUGCUCUGUGUCAUUUCCUGUAGGUUGUUCCAGUUCACAUGGAAUUCCUACAGUUCAUUAUUCCUUUGAGCACAAUAGUAUUCCAUCACCAACAUAUGCCACAAUUUGUUCAGCCAUUCCCCAAUCGAAGGGCAUUCCCUCAUUUUCCAAUUUUUUGCCACCACAAAGAGCACAGCUAUGAAUAUUCUUGUACAAGUCUUUUUCCUUAUUAUCUUUUUGGGGUAUAAACUGAGCAGUGCUAUGGCUGAAUCAAAGGGCAGACAGUCUUUUAUCGCCCUUUAGGCAUAGUUCCAAAUUGCCCUCCAGAAUGGUUGGAUCAAUUCACAACUCCACUAGCAAUGAAUUAAUGUCCCUACUUUGCCACAUCCCCUCCAGCAUUCAUUACUUUCCUUUGCUGUCAUGUUAGCCAAUCUGCUAGGUGUGAGGUGAUGCCUCAGAGUUGUUUUGAUUUGCAUCUCUCUGAUUAUAAGAGAUUUAGAGCACUUUUUCAUGUGCUUAUUAAUAGUUUUGAUUUCUUUAACUGAAAACUGCCUAUCCAUGUCCCUUGCCCAUUUAUCAAUUGGAGAAUGGCUUGAUUUUUUGUACAAUUAAAGCAAACCUUUUGACAAGCAGGCUGGUUAUCUAUUUUCAAGAUCAGGAAGAAAGUUCGUCAACUUUAAUAUGCUGAGAUGAAAACCAUUUUUGAUAAUUUAAAACAACCCAUUUUUGGUAAAUUUAAACAGUUAAACCCAUUUUUUUCCUUAAUCCUCUUAUGAUGGAAAGACAGAUAAGGAUUGAGUGAAGUCUUCUUGAGGCUAUACUGCUAAACAAACAAACAAACUUACAAAACAGAUCCAUGACUUUUCCAUACAGACUGAAAUUUCUCUGUCCCACAAACAUAAUUAAAAUUAGAAUGUUAUUUUCUAAACCCACAUGUUUUGAAAUAAAAUACCAAUAAAGAACUCUAAUAGAGAGAUUUAAGCAUUACUGCCUUUUGGCCAGCAGACAGAGAAAGAUUUUAUCAGGACUUCUUUUCUAUAUCUCUUUGCCCCAAAACAGAGGAUAAUUGAGAAUGUUGUUCACAGAUUGGAAAAAAAAAAGCCUUAGUUUUAAAAGUGUAAGACACUUAAAAAUCCCCAAAGUAGGGGUGUCUCACCAGUUCUAAUUGUCUGCUGCUGUGAUGGGAGAUAGGGCUGGUACAGGCUUCCAUCAUUCUGAAUUUUGAGAUGAAGCCGCCUCUAAGGUGGGGGUGAGGGUGACUGGAAGCAGCUUAACUCCAGCAGGAGCCUUUGUUUCUAGCAACCCCCCCCAAAAAACAAAACAAACCCCAAAAGUUUAGAAGCAGCUUUGGUUAAUUUGAAAGUAGGAGUUUGGAGAUUAAAGUCUAGCUUCUGUUGUUUGUGUCCUAUGUCUGGAGUUGACUAAUAAAAUGGAAAUGUAGAACAAUGAUUCCUUGUUCAUACUCUGGGUCUAAACUGGUGGAUUUCCUCAGUCUCAACCAGAUGGUUCAUGAAGAGGACUGGAUGCUCUUCUUUGUCUUGAAUAAUCUCUUUCAACCCUCCUCCUCCCUGUAGCAGAACAGAAAGGCAGAUCUGAACAGUGGCUACCCUAUUUCCUUUUUCUCUCUCUCUCAGCAUGGAUUUCUGGGUGGGCCCUUGCCUUAAAAAUCCAAGAUUAGAAUUUGGAGAACUGGGAGCCUAGUGAGGGGACAAAGCUAAAAGGUAAGAGGCUUCUGUCCAUAUGCCCUCUUCCUGCAAAAUAUGUCCAAUUGCCACCUGGUGUUAGAAUUUAGGGAAUCAAAAAGCCAAAUUCCUCAUUUUUUUUCCAUGAUAUUGCUCAGUCUUUUAACAUAAGGAAAAAAAAAACACCUCAAUUAGAAUUUCACUCAGGCUGCCUAGGCUUGGGCCUGUGAGAAUGCUUUUCCCUCUGUCUUAGUUGGAUUGGCUAGUCCCUAUCUGGCCACUCAGCCCCUGAGGCUUCCCAGACUGAAGGGAGAAAGUCCAAUGCAGUCACUACCCAAGGGAGGAUACAAGCAGUCUAGGUCAGACUUAAGUUUUUUUUUUUUCCAAUUUGUAAGUAUGCACCCUAAAGGGGAAUCUUGGGCUAUGGUCUGUCUCUGUUCCAUUUAGAUGUGGAAUGAUCAGUUCCUCACUGAGGGACAACUGUGCGUCCACAGAGGUUGCCAGACUUUUAGCACUCAGUUCAGCGCUGAGGUGAGACUCCUCUACACCAGAACAUCCUAAGAGGAGAUGAUAAAUCCCAAAUCCAAUGGCCUGACUGACCUCUGGGGCCAAUGGGAGAGAGGGUGAAAGAAGUCCCACAAAGAUGUCACCCCCAAAUGGGGGGGGGAGGUUUCAGGAGUCCAAGAAAGGCCCCUUCCUACCUGAAUCCAGGGUACAGAAGCAGCUUUCUUCAGGAAAGCCAAACACACUGGGUGCCAAAAUGUUGUGGGGAGCUUGAGGUAAACCCCCGGGGUUUGGGAAGGGUGCUCCAAAAUUUAGCUUAAAAAAAAAGAGAAAUUUAUUAAUUUAGAAGGUAAUGUUGAAUCUGGUCAGGAAGACAGCAUGGAUGGAAAGCUGUCCCCCUGAUGACAUCAAUUCUGGGGUCUUUAUACUCUUUACCACAGUAAAGAUGUUCCCCUGUGCCAUGAUGAAGGCAUGACUCUAGAAUGGUAUGCCCUGAAGCACUGGAGGGGGGGUGAGGUUUGCCUGAAGACAUAGGGGGUGACCCUCAUAGUUUAGAGGAUAGACAGAUGUCUGAGAUACAACUUGAUGGUAUCAAGGAAGUGUAUCUCUCUGUCCAUCUCAAAUGUAAAGGAUGAUCCAAGGAGGAUAAUUCUCUUAAGGUCUUAUAGGAGUCAUCAGAUGUUUUGGGUUAGGAUUCACAAGAAUAGAAGGGAGCAAAGGAAUUUCCCUGCUUAGUUUGCCUGAAACACUUCUAUAAUUUGGUGGUACAAUUCCCAUGCCAGAUGGACAGGCAGACAGACAGGCAGGCAGACAGACAGACAGACAGACAGAUAGAUAGAUAGAUAGAUAGAUAGAUAGAUGAAUGGAUGGAUGGAUGGGUGGAUGGGUGGAUGGGUGGAUGGAUGGAUGGAUGGAUGGAUGGGUAGAUAGACUGAUAGGUAGAUGGAUGGACAGAUAGAGAGACAGAUGGAUAGAUAGCUAGAUAGAUGGAUAGAUAGUUAGUUAGAUAGAUAGAUAGACAAACAGACAGACAGAUAGAUAGAUAGAUAGAUAGGCAGGCAGACAGACAGACAGACAGACAGACAGACAGACAGACAGACAGACAGAUAGAUAGAUAGAUAGAUAGAUAGAUAGAUAGAUAGAUGAAUGGAUGGGUGGGUGGAUGGAUGGAUGGAUGGGUAGAUAGACUGAUAGGUAGAUGGAUGGACAGAUAGAGAGACAGAUGGGUAGAUAGAUAGAUAGAUAGAUAGUCAGACAGAUAAAUAGAUGGAUGGAUAGAUAGAUAGAUAAACAGACAGACAAAUAUAUGGAUAAAAAGACAGAUUGAUAAAUAAAGAUAGACAAAAAGAGAGGCAAAGAAAUAGACAAAGAAGUAGGGCAACAGACACAGAUAGAUGAUAGAUAAAGAGAUAGACAAAGAAAUGAAUAGAUAGAUGGAUAGAUAGUUGGAGAAAGGUACAUAGACAAAGAGAUACAUAAAAUGAUUUCUAGACAGACAAAAAGAUAAAGAAAUAAAGAGGAAGAUAGAUGGAUAGGCAAACAUAGGUAAAGAGAUGGACGUAGAGGUAGGUAGGGGGAGAGAGAGACAGACAGAUAUAUAGAUAGAUAGACAGACAGAUUAAGAUAUGGACACAGAGGUAGGUAGGGGAGAGAUAGAUACAGGCAGAUUAGGCAGACAGGCAGACAGGCAGACAGACAGACAGACAGAUAGCUAGAUAGCUAGAUAGCUAGAUAGAUAGAGUACUUAUUAAGCAAAAAGCAAGGCAAUCCCUGCCCAUCAGAAGCUUACAUGAUAACAAUACAAAAGAUAGAACCUGAUAUAUAGAAAUAAUACCAAAAAAAAAAAGAGGUGAAAGUGGGGGGAGGUAGCAGGGGUAACAUUCAGAAGAAGUUUAGGGAGUGGGAGUCAGGAAGCCUGUUUGGGCUUUCUCAAAUGGAGGCUCAUUCAGGAGGGGAGACGCUAGAGAGAAGGAAGUGUGUGUGGAGUUAGUCUCUCACUAGCUAGAGUUCUCUGCUUGAUAUCAUCUUGGAAGCCCAGGGCACUGUGUAUUUGCUGGAAAGCCUUAGGAGAGAUAAGCAUAGAAAGCUGGGAGACUCCUGGUUUGUCCUGUAACAUAUAUGGGGAGUGCACAUAGAUGUGGCAACAUUUACCUGAGGCAAACAGGCCCCAGUCUGUAUGGGGGAGAGGGGGUAUGUCUUCUGCUAGAUUUUCUAGGCAGGAAUCAAGCCUUAUUCAGUUUUGUUUUCCUUUGUGCACCUGUCACAGGCCCUGCACAUAGAAACUAUUUGUUAAAUGUUUGUUGAAUAAAUGAAUGAAUGUUUACAGACCCAGGAAAACCUUUCCUGAGAGAGAUGAUGACAGUCCCAUGGAGGAGAGGGAGGGACGCCAGUCUGGGUGAGUAAAUAAAGGGUCUCCCUGUGACUAGGUUAAAAUAGGUAGAUGGUUUCAUAUUCACAUUACUUGGCUACUUCAGACCUGCAUGCAUACGCAUGGAUACACAGGUUCCUUAGUUCUUAAUAAUCAUUUAGUCCCAUGCCUUUGUUUUACAAGCUAGGAAACCUGAGCCCCAGGUUUGGGAAGGAACUUGCUAAUGGUCAUACCAGCUGUAGAGCAGAGCUAGAAUCUGAACCCAAAUGAGUAUUCAGACUCCAAAUUCAGUAUGCUUUUCUAUUUGAUAAUCAUUUUUAAGGCACCUACUAUGCGCCAGGCACUGUGCUAAAGAACCUGGAAUACAAAUAAGAAAAAUAAAAAUAAUCAUGCCCUCAAGGAGCUUACAUUCUAAAGAAGAAAGUCAGUUUACAAAAGCUUGAAAAAGGGGGAAGAGAGAACCACCAGGGCCUAUGAUGUUCAGUGCUUUAGAAAUCAAGCAAAACUGCAGCUAAAACAAAACAAAACAAAACAAAACAAAACAGAAAGAUGAUAAAGGAAGGCCUUGUGAGAAGUUUUUACUGUUCCACCUUCUAGCCCUCCAAUUAUGGGGUAGAGGAAUUCAUCCCACUAAUUCACAUCUCUUUUUCCUCUAGGCAGGCUUGCUGUAUGUAUGUAAGCCAAGAUACUCAUUUCAGAUAAAUUUAGUUGGAAUAAUUCAGUUCAAUUGAUAUUUGGGGUGGUUCCUCUUAUAGGAGAAACCAUCUCCUGCCCUUGUACAGGCUGUGACUCAUGCCUGGAAAGCACUCCCCUCCUCAUUUUUAUUUCUUAUGAUUCCUUGCUUCCUUCAAAGCUUAGCUCAAGUCCUCCUGCAGUAUCUUGGUUCUAUUUUUUAAAUUAUUAUUAUUACAAACUUAGUAACCAUCAGCACCACCACCAAAAAAAUGAACUCAACAAAUUCAUAAGAAAGAUUAUGCACAGGACUGUAAACUCCAUGUUGUUUACAAUAAAAUUAAUAUAAAUGUCCUCUGAUUUUGAGUUCCCUUUGGAUUUGUUUUGCUUGGAUUUUUUUCCUCUUGAUUUUUUUUUGUGUGUGUUUUUUUUUUUUUAACUUUAAUCAUGGUAUCCUGGAAGCUCUCUUUGCAGAUGACUGUGCUCUCAUGGCCCACCAAGAAAAUCAUCUUCAAACCAUUGUGGACAGGUUCUCCACUGCAACAAAACUGUUUGGCCUGACUAUCAGCCUCAGAAAAACAGAGGUGCUGUUCCAACCUGCACCAGGGAGGCCAACUAACCAGUUGUGCAUUACUGCAGCACCAUUGCCAACAACGGGUCCCUAAACCAUGAGAUUAAUGCCAGGAUCCAAAAGGCCAGCCAGGCUCUCGGGCGACGCCACCUUUGAAGAUGAGCUACGUAGAUGUCUUGCCGCUGCGCGUGAACGCCGACACCAGGCCACAACUGCACCUCCCGUAACAACUGGCGUCCCAGGCCCCAUGUGCCACAAACUCUGCACCUCAGCCUUUGGACUCCAAAGCCAUAUGAGGGUACACCGUAGAUGAAACUGCACAAAGACAAUCGUCAUUCUCUAUCACCGAGAGACUACCACUACUACUAAUCAUGGAGCUGCUAGCAUGUGGCAGCGGCCACACCUCGGGCAACGGCUUCGACAGGCAGGCUAAACCUUGUGAGGGUAGCCAUCAGGUCGUCGACCCCUGUUGAACCAAGGCUUUGCUCACCCAGCAUGUGAAGACUGCUUCGGCUGAACAGGUGGAAGAAACCAAUAAGAAGGUUCAAUGGCUGAGAGGGCGACGCAGCAAAGCACUGUGGAGUGCUUAGGGCGUGUUGGAGCACAAAAGACAACAUGGUCAUCCAAUGCAGCUGGGGAAGUCUCCAGGUAUAACGACUUUUCGUGCCACUGGACCCAGGCUUCCAACGCCGAGAGAGUGGGACUGUCUCUGUGCAUCGACUCUUCCACUUAAAUCUCUUUCAUGCACAGGUGUCUUUGUGCAAAACGCACAAAGACAAUCGUCAUUCUCGGUUACUGAGAGACUACUACCAUUGGCCAACCAGGUAAUAAUCUUUCUGACUGCCAUUAAAGACCCUUUAUUAUAACUAACAAUAAAAAAAUAAAUAAUUUUUUUAAAUCUCAGCUCAAAUAUUACCUUUCCCAGGAACCAAUAGUGACCUGAAUAUCUUUGGCUUGGCCUUAGGACAGUGAUAGGCAACCUUUUGAGCUUGGUGUGUCAAAAUUCACCAAAAACAUGAGCAUAACUAGGGUGGUAUGUCACUUUGAGAAAAAACCAUAAUUUUAUGAUAUUUAUAGUUUAAAUAACAAAAAUGUAUAAUUGUAAUAUAUAACUGUAUUUAAUAAACCAAAACCUAAUUAUUUAA